rnacentral:rRNA from 1 species
CCUACGGGAGGCAGCAGUGGGGAAUCUUGCGCAAUGGGCGAAAGCCUGACGCAGCCAUGCCGCGUGAAUGAUGAAGGUCUUAGGAUUGUAAAAUUCUUUCACCGGGGACGAUAAUGACGGUACCCGGAGAAGAAGCCCCGGCUAACUUCGUGCCAGCAGCCGCGGUAAUACGAAGGGGGGCUAGCGUUGCUCGGAAUUACUGGGCGUAAAGGGAGCGUAGGCGGAUAGUUUAGUCAGAGGUGAAAGCCCAGGGCUCAACCUUGGAAUUGCCUUUGAUACUGGCUAUCUUGAGUAUGGGAGAGGUUAGCGGAACUCCGAGUGUAGAGGUGAAAUUCGUAGAUAUUCGGAAGAACACCAGUGGCGAAGGCGGCUAACUGGCCCAUUACUGACGCUGAGGCUCGAAAGCGUGGGGAGCAAACAGGAUUAGAUACCCUGGUAGUCCACGCCGUAAACGAUGAGUGCUAGUUGUCGGCAUGCAUGCAUGUCGGUGACGCGAGCUACGACAUAAGUACACUCCGCCGUCGGGAGGUACGGUCGCGAAGAAUAAACUACAAUAGAAGUUAGUACGGCGUGAGACGUGCCGACGGACGACGACGAGGGAGGUUAGG